AAAAGAAGAAAUUUAGUCGUGAAUCCAAACAACGUAACGGAAGAAGAGGCGAAGCGUGGGUAGAAGGUCGCGUCGGUUGCCAUGGAGACACGUCUCACCUUCGCAGCGGGAGGAGUUUGUUCCUCUGCAGCCGGUUCCGUCUCCUCCGACCGGUUCCUCUCUGCAAAUCAGAAUUCAAACAUGAAGCCUGAAGCUGUUCUUCCCAAGUGACGGGCAUGGGGCUGUCAGUCGUCUCCUCGCCUUCUUCAGCCAUGAUCAUCAUCUUCUUCUUCUUCUUGCCUUCCUUUGGAAGUGGAGUCGAUGCCGUCUCAGGAGGUCCGGAGCUCUCCUCCUUUUCCUCCUCCUCCUCUGUUUGCUUCUUCUUUUUCUUCUUCGGCGGUUGGUUUUCCUUUGAGGAAUUCUCUUCUUGCUCUCCGUUCAUUUUAAUCAUCUUCUUCUUCUUCUUUGGUGUGUCGUCGCUCUUCUGGGCGGGGUCACCUUGGGGCGUCUCCUCCGCGGUCGCCUUUUGUCUGCAAGAAUGAUUGAUGUUACUUGUGAUUAAUGAUUGUGAUUUACAAUGAAGGUAUUGCUGAUGUAACUAUACUUGUUAAAUGUUUGACUCUAAUCUAAAUAUAUUUUGUGUUUAUUCCACAUUGA
ensembl:lncRNA